GGAGCUUAGGACAGCGCCUGGCUCAAGAGAUGUGGCUACCAUCCCUCCUGCUUUUGGUACUCAGCGCAGGCAGGGUUCAGUGCAGCAAGUAACAGCUGUGGGUUAGUGGAUUGUCUGCAACCAUUGGCGACUGAGAGAUCCCUGCAGCCCUCCCAGACCCUCGAUCUGACUGGAGCCAGGCCCACGUGGGGAAAGGGUUAAACGUUGGCAGUGACUUCACCCCUGCAUUGGAGCAGGCGGAGGCAGAGAACCUGCUGGAAGCUGUUCUGAACCAGAGAAGGAUGAAAAUAGCUGCCAAAGAUGUUGCCAUAGCAACUGCUUUCCUUCCUGACCUCCUUGGAAGUGAACUCCCUCAUUUUCCAGAGUAGUCAAGGAAUUUCUGUGCCUCUACCCAUGGCUUUGGUUACCAACUCAUCCCUGGGGGCCUUGGUUUCUUUCUGUGAAAUGGAAUAUUCAUUCCAGCACUCACCACCUUCUAGGCUGGAGUAAGGCUCCAACUUUGCAAAUGCUGUUAGUAAACUGUAGAGCUCCGUGCA
rnacentral:lncRNA from 1 species